UGAUGGAAAAUGAGUAAUGUUCGUAGGCAAUUAGUAUACAUACAUAUUAAGCUAUGUUUAGGGUCAUCAUCAAACAAUUGGAACAAUUAAACACUUCGAAAUUUCCAUACACGUGGGCUUGCUAUAUUUUGUAGUAAUAAACUUGGAACUUGUUUCAAGCUGAGAUUUUGUUCAAAAUUGCUGCUCUGUUAGUCCCCAACUGAUCACACAAGUUCACUCAGUUUACUCAUCAAGCUAACGAACUAAACAAUGGUGCCAUGCCAUCAACACUAAACCGAACUCUACGAGGUGGCAAAACACUGACAUGACACACUAACGAAUAACCAUCCAACCCAUGUGACGAAGGUGAGCUCAAAACCAGGAACCUUCACCAACCCAGCAGCAACAGUCUACUGCAAGACAGCUCGAAAUUUGGUUGCAUCUCCAACUCGCCUGCUUUGGGGCGUCCGGCUCAACCCCACCACGCUUGGGCAAUUCACCGAACAGCUACCGCGCAGAGGUGAGGUGACUCUAUACCGUCUCAGCAACAGCCAACAAGGGGCGAUCCCACAAUCUAAUCCAAUCCCACACCCACCUCCCUCGUUCCCGUAGCUAUUGAACAUGCACCGCCAACGCACGCGAACCUCGCUAAUGGAAAGGAAUCAACGGCGAUGUAUACGCACGCCGGGCGCGCUCGGCGGAGGAGAGGACCGGAACGAACGUAGCGGCCACAGUGGAGGAGGCUUAGGAGGGCUACAGCUUUCCCACACGUGAGGCAGCGGCCGGUGCCCUGCCCAGCAGCUACCUCUCCAGCUGGCUUGGCGGAGGGAGGGGGAUAAGAGCAUCUCCAACCGUCUCUUUAAAUCUAACUCUCCAAAUGUCUAUUUAGCUAACUCUCCAUUUAAUUAGCAAGUCAAAUUUAUUAUUUACUCCAACAGUCUCUCUAUCUGUUCUCUCUAUUGUGAGUGUAUGAUAGUGGAAUCCACAUGUCAGCAUCACCUCUUUCUUCCUCAUUUUGUCUCUCUUUUUCCCGGAAGGACUACAUGGAGCCUCCAUCGCCGCGCGCAGGGCCUUCGGCGAGGGCUCCCCGGCCGUGGCCGCCGCAUGGAAGCCACUUCACCAACCCUGUCCCUCCCUCCCGCCACCGCCGCAUGCAAGCCAUCCUCGCCGUUGGUCCCGGGGGCGCCGCCGCUGCCAGGGCGCUCGUCGUCGCCGAUGCCACCAAGAAGGCCGUCGCCGUACUCAAGGUCCUACAACAGUGAAUGGCCGCCGUCGCCACCCCCGACGCCUGGCGCACCCACGACUGGCGGAAGGCCGUCGACUACCACGCCACCCUCCUCGCCACCCUCCUCGCCAACGGCAUCCUUUCCCCGACCUCCCGCGCCAUUUGCCUCGGCGCCGUGCAGGAGGCCCUCGCCAUGCGGGAGCUCAGCGUCUCCACCGCCGUCGCCGUCGCCAGGAAGCGCUCCCCGCCGCUCGCUAUCGCUGGGAACGACCGCCGCCUCCCCUUCCCGGACUCCUCCGUCGACUUCAUCUAAACGGCGGCGCGCUCGUGGCCGGCGUGCCCUCCGAUUCUCCCCCGGCCGAUGCAGCUGAGAGAGAGGAAGGAUGGCUGGCUGAGGCUGGGAGGAGAGCUGGGAGUGAUGGUGGGACCCACCUUUCGCUAGUGGAGGAGGCUGGCUACAUUUGGCUAGCCGGUGGAGCAAUUUGGCUAUCCGAAUGCCUUGGCCAUCCGAAUGGAGAAUCUGUUAGAGCUUGUUUUUUCUCUGUAAUAGCUAAAUUUUAACUUGGAGAGUCAAAUAGAGAUUCUGUUGAAGAUGAUAUAAGCCGUGGGAGUAGGUGGGCGGGUACAACGAAUGAGACGGACACGAAUACGACCUGUGUGGGGGUAAUGGCCGAUCAGGCAAUGGGAAGAGGCGUGGGCCCGCGA